rnacentral:rRNA from 1 species
CCUACGGGAGGCAGCAGUGGGGAAUAUUGGACAAUGGGCGCAAGCCUGAUCCGACCAUGCCGCGUGAGUGAUGAAGGCCUUAGGGUUGUAAAGCUCUUUCACCGGAGAAGAUAAUGACGGUAUCCGGAGAAGAAGCCCCGGCUAACUUCGUGCCAGCAGCCGCGGUAAUAC